rnacentral:piRNA from 1 species
UGGUAACAUGCACUAGGAUAU